rnacentral:rRNA from 1 species
ACGGGUGAGUAACGCGUGGGAACGUACCUUUUGGUUCGGAACAACACAGGGAAACUUGUGCUAAUACCGGAUAAGCCCUUACGGGGAAAGAUUUAUCGCCGAAAGAUCGGCCCGCGUCUGAUUAGCUAGUUGGUGAGGUAAGAGCUCACCAAGGCGACGAUCAGUAGCUGGUCUGAGAGGAUGAUCAGCCACAUUGGGACUGAGACACGGCCCAAACUCCUACGGGAGGCAGCAGUGGGGAAUAUUGGACAAUGGGCGAAAGCCUGAUCCAGCCAUGCCGCGUGAGUGAUGAAGGCCCUAGGGUUGUAAAGCUCUUUUGUGCGGGAAGAUAAUGACGGUACCGCAAGAAUAAGCCCCGGCUAACUUCGUGCCAGCAGCCGCGGUAAUACGAAGGGGGCUAGCGUUGCUCGGAAUCACUGGGCGUAAAGGGUGCGUAGGUGGGUCUUUAAGUCAGAGGUGAAAUCCUGGAGCUCAACUCCAGAACUGCCUUUGAUACUGAGGGUCUUGAGUUCGGGAGAGGUGAGUGGAACUGCGAGUGUAGAGGUGAAAUUCGUAGA